rnacentral:rRNA from 1 species
UACGGGGGGGGCAAGCGUUGUUCGGAAUUACUGGGCGUAAAGGGCGCGUAGGCGGCCUGCUAAGUCGGACGUGAAAUCCCCCGGCUCAACCGGGGAACUGCGUCCGAUACUGGUGGGCUCGAAUCCGGGAGAGGGAUGCGGAAUUCCAGGUGUAGCGGUGAAAUGCGUAGAUAUCUGGAGGAACACCGGUGGCGAAGGCGGCAUCCUGGACCGGCAUUGACGCUGAGGCGCGAAAGCCAGGGGAGCAAACGGG